rnacentral:rRNA from 1 species
AGCAGCCGCGGUAAUUCCAGCUCCAAUAGCGUAUAUUAAAGUUGUUGCAGUUAAAAAGCUCGUAGUUGAAUUUCGGGAUUGACGUGACGGUCGUGCCUUACGGGGUAUGAACUGUUGCAGUCAAUUUCUCACCUUCUGGAGAAAUAUGAUGUCCUUAAUUGGGUGUCAUAUGGAACCAGGACCUUUACCUUGAAAAAAUUAGAGUGUUUAAAGCAAGCAUAUUGCUCGAAUACAUUAGCAUGGAAUAAUAAAAUAGGACGGCUUGAUUCUAUUUUGUUGGUUUCUAGGAUCACCGUAAUGAUUAAUAGGGAUAGUUGGGGGCAUUAGUAUUCAAUUGUCAGAGGUGAAAUUCUUGGAUUUAUUGAAGACUAACUACUGCGAAAGCAUUUGCCAAGGAUGUUUUCAUUAAUCAAGAACGAAAGUUAGGGGAUCGAAGACGAUCAGAUACCGUCGUAGUCUUAAACCAUAAACUAUGCCGACUAGGAAUCAGACGAUGUUAAUUUUUAAUGACUCGUUUGGC